GUGAGUAAUGCCUAGGAAUCUGCCUGGUAGUGGGGGACAACGUUUCGAAAGGAACGCUAAUACCGCAUACGUCCUACGGGAGAAAGCAGGGGACCUUCGGGCCUUGCGCUAUCAGAUGAGCCUAGGUCGGAUUAGCUAGUUGGUGAGGUAAUGGCUCACCAAGGCGACGAUCCGUAACUGGUCUGAGAGGAUGAUCAGUCACACUGGAACUGAGACACGGUCCAGACUCCUACGGGAGGCAGCAGUGGGGAAUAUUGGACAAUGGGCGAAAGCCUGAUCCAGCCAUGCCGCGUGUGUGAAGAAGGUCUUCGGAUUGUAAAGCACUUUAAGUUGGGAGGAAGGGUUGUAGAUUAAUACUCUGCAAUUUUGACGUUACCGACAGAAUAAGCACCGGCUAACUCUGUGC
rnacentral:rRNA from 1 species